ACUCCUACGGGAGGCAGCAGUAGGGAAUCUUCCACAAUGGGCGCAAGCCUGAUGGAGCAACACCGCGUGAGUGAAGAAGGGUUUCGGCUCGUAAAGCUCUGUUGUUAAAGAAGAACACGUAUGAGAGUAACUGUUCAUACGUUGACGGUAUUUAACCAGAAAGUCACGGCUAACUACGUGCCAGCAGCCGCGGUAAUACGUAGGUGGCAAGCGUUAUCCGGAUUUAUUGGGCGUAAAGAGAGUGCAGGCGGUUUUCUAAGUCUGAUGUGAAAGCCUUCGGCUUAACCGGAGAAGUGCAUCGGAAACUGGAUAACUUGAGUGCAGAAGAGGGUAGUGGAACUCCAUGUGUAGCGGUGGAAUGCGUAGAUAUAUGGAAGAACACCAGUGGCGAAGGCGGCUACCUGGUCUGCAACUGACGCUGAGACUCGAAAGCAUGGGUAGCGAACAGGAUUAGAUACCCCGUGGUAGGAUAGCG
rnacentral:rRNA from 1 species